AAUCUACUCAUAAAGUUGACAAUGGAUGCCUAGGCUUUUGGAGCCGAGGAAGGACGCAUCCUAACCUGCGAUAUCAUCGGGGAGGCGGUAGGUAGCCUACGAUCCGGUGGUUUCCGAAUGGGGUAACCCUUCGUCCUUUGGACGAAAACUUUACAUAAAUAUUUUGGGCGUAAGCUUGAAGUGAUAGUGUAAAGUAGGGAACCAGGCGAACUGAAACAUCUCAGUAGCCUGAGGAAAAGAAAUCAAUAGAGAUACCGUCAGUAGCGGCGAGCGAAAGCGGUAAAGUCUAAACCCCGACGUAAGUCGGGGGGUUGCAGGGCUUUGCAUUUAGGAUAAAAAAGGUAGGAGAAUACUUCGGAAUAAGUAACCACAGAGGGUGAAAGUCCCGUAUCUGAAAUCCGAUUUAUCCGAGCGAAGUUCCUAAGUACCACGAGGCACGGCAAAACCUUGUGGGAAUCUGGGACGACCACGUUCCAAGACUAAACACUCCAAAAGACCGAUAGUGAACUAGUACCGUGAGGGAAAGGUGAAAAGCACCCCGGAAGGGGAAUGAAAUAGUACCUGAAAUUGUCAACUAACAAACAGAUAGAGUCCCGCCUUUGGCGGGAUAAUAUCGUGCCUAUUGAAGAAUGAACCGAUGAGUUACCGUUUGUUGCUUUUGUCUAAGCCAUUUAAGUGGCGGAGGCGUAGUGAAAGCGAUCCCGAAUAGGGAUAUUUUGCAGCAGAUGGUAGACCCGAAACCGGUGUGAGCUAAUUGUGAGCAGGAUGAACCCUGACGAAAGUCGGGGGGAGGUCCGAACCCGUCGUUGUUACAAAAACGUGGGAUGACUUACGAUUAGAGGUAAUAUGCCAAACGAACCCGGAGAUAGCUGGUUCUCCCCGAAAUAUAUAUAGGUAUAGCGUUCCGAUGAUCUCUGGAGGUAGAGCACUCAAUGGGAUAUCAAGCGUAAGCGAGAUAUCUCAAUGAAACUCCGAAUGCCAGUAAGAUCGUAAUUGGAAUAGUCAGUCCGGCUCGGCUAAGCGAGUCUGGUCAAGUGGGGAAACAACCCAAACUCUCAAUUAAGGCCCCUAAAUUUUGACUAAGUUGUUAAGGAUGUCAAAUCGCUUAAACACCCAGGAGGUUGGCUCAGAAGCAGCCACCCUUUAAAGAGUGCGUAACAGCUCACUGGACGAGUGGUUUGGCGCCUAAAAUGAACGGGGAUAAGUCAAAUGCCGAAAUUAGAGAUGCGUUCGGAAUUUAUUCCGAUCGCGUGGUAGGGGAGCGUUCCUGUUGCAGUGAAGGUUUGCUGUAAGGCAAACUGGAGCGGCAGGAAGUGCGAAUGUCGGUAUGAGUAGCGAGAGGCUGGUGAGAAUCCAGUCCACCAAAUGUUCAAGGUUUCCGUCCCAACGUUCGUCGAGGACGGGUCAGUCGGAUCUAAGACGAGGCUCCGCAUCACGCGGAGCGUAGGUCGAAUGUACAAGCCGUUGAUAUUCGGCUACAGAUUAUAGAUGAUAAAGACACUAAGGGAAGACAAAGAGAGAAGAAUCCAGCCUAGCCAUCGAACAUGCUAGGUCUAAAUCGUAAGGUAGUAGUAAUUGGUAAAUCCGUUACUGUGUUUAACUGAGCGAUGGGAGAAUCCAAAGCGCAAGCAGCGGAGAAUUGGAUGCCUUUUUUCUUUCGAGAAAAUUCUC
rfam:Microgenomates (Gottesmanbacteria) bacterium GW2011_GWC2_39_8 TT63_C0043, whole genome shotgun sequence.